CAGCCGCCGCGGGAAUACAGAGGGUGCGAGCGUUAAUCGGAUUUACUGGGCGUAAAGCGUGCGUAGGCGGCUUUUUAAGUCGGAUGUGAAAUCCCUGAGCUUAACUUAGGAAUUGCAUUCGAUACUGGGAAGCUAGAGUAUGGGAGAGGAUGGUAGAAUUCCAGGUGUAGCGGUGAAAUGCGUAGAGAUCUGGAGGAAUACCGAUGGCGAAGGCAGCCAUCUGGCCUAAUACUGACGCUGAGGUACGAAAGCAUGGGGAGCAAACAGGAUUAGAUACCCCUGUAGUCCCUGUCUCUUUACC
rnacentral:rRNA from 1 species